rnacentral:rRNA from 1 species
AUUGAACGCUGGCGGCAGGCCUAACACAUGCAAGUCGAACGAGCGGCGGACGGGUGAGUAAUGUCUGGGAAACCGCCUGAUGGGGGGGGAUAACCACUGGAAACCGUGGCUAAUAACGGCUACCAUCAGAUGUGCCCAGAUGGGCUUAGCUUGUUGGUGGGGUAACGGCUCACCAAGGCGACGAUCCCUAGCUGGUCUGAGAGGAUGACCAGCCACACUGGAACUGAGACACGGUCCAGACUCCUACGGGAGGCAGCAGUGGGGAAUCUUCGACAAUGGGCGAAAGCCUGAUGCAGCCACGCCGCGUGUAUGAAGAAGGCUUUCGGGUCGUAAAGUUCUUUCGUUGGGGAGGCGGUACCCGCCCAAGAAGCACCGGCUAACUCCGUGCCAGCAGCCGCGGUAAUUC